ensembl:snRNA U6 U6 spliceosomal RNA
GUGCUUGCUUUGGCAGCACAUAUAUUAAAAUUGAAGCAAUACAGAGAAGGUUAGCAUGGCUCCUGCGCAAGGAUGACAUGCAAGUUUGUGAAUCGUUCUGUAUUUAA